rnacentral:ncRNA from 1 species
UUUUAUAAGAAUAUGAUGUUGGUUCAGAUUAAGCGCUAAAUAAGGACAUGACACAUGCGAAUCAUACGUUUAUUAUUGAUAAGAUAAUAAAUAUGUGGUGUAAACGUGAGUAAUUUUAUUAGGAAUUAAUGAACUAUAGAAUAAGCUAAAUACUUAAUAUAUUAUUAUAUAAAAAUAAUUUAUAUAAUAAAAAGGAUAUAUAUAUAAUAUAUAUUUAUCUAUAGUCAAGCCAAUAAUGGUUUAGGUAGUAGGUUUAUUAAGAGUUAAACCUAGCCAACGAUCCAUAAUCGAUAAUGAAAGUUAGAACGAUCACGUUGACUCUGAAAUAUAGUCAAUAUCUAUAAGAUACAGCAGUGAGGAAUAUUGGACAAUGAUCGAAAGAUUGAUCCAGUUACUUAUUAGGAUGAUAUAUAAAAAUAUUUUAUUUUAUUUAUAAAUAUUAAAUAUUUAUAAUAAUAAUAAUAAUAAUAUAUAUAUAUAAAUUGAUUAAAAAUAAAAUCCAUAAAUAAUUAAAAUAAUGAUAUUAAUUACCAUAUAUAUUUUUAUAUGGAUAUAUAUAUUAAUAAUAAUAUUAAUUUUAUUAUUAUUAAUAAUAUAUUUUAAUAGUCCUGACUAAUAUUUGUGCCAGCAGUCGCGGUAACACAAAGAGGGCGAGCGUUAAUCAUAAUGGUUUAAAGGAUCCGUAGAAUGAAUUAUAUAUUAUAAUUUAGAGUUAAUAAAUAUAAUUAAAGAAUUAUAAUAGUAAAGAUGAAAUAAUAAUAAUAAUUAUAAGACUAAUAUAUGUGAAAAUAUUAAUUAAAUAUUAACUGACAUUGAGGGAUUAAAACUAGAGUAGCGAAACGGAUUCGAUACCCGUGUAGUUCUAGUAGUAAACUAUGAAUACAAUUAUUUAUAAUAUAUAUUAUAUAUAAAUAAUAAAUGAAAAUGAAAGUAUUCCACCUGAAGAGUACGUUAGCAAUAAUGAAACUCAAAACAAUAGACGGUUACAGACUUAAGCAGUGGAGCAUGUUAUUUAAUUCGAUAAUCCACGACUAACCUUACCAUAUUUUGAAUAUUAUAAUAAUUAUUAUAAUUAUUAUAUUACAGGCGUUACAUUGUUGUCUUUAGUUCGUGCUGCAAAGUUUUAGAUUAAGUUCAUAAACGAACAAAACUCCAUAUAUAUAAUUUUAAUUAUAUAUAAUUUUAUAUUAUUUAUUAAUAUAAAGAAAGGAAUUAAGACAAAUCAUAAUGAUCCUUAUAAUAUGGGUAAUAGACGUGCUAUAAUAAAAUGAUAAUAAAAUUAUAUAAAAUAUAUUUAAUUAUAUUUAAUUAAUAAUAUAAAACAUUUUAAUUUUUAAUAUAUUUUUUUAUUAUAUAUUAAUAUGAAUUAUAAUCUGAAAUUCGAUUAUAUGAAAAAAGAAUUGCUAGUAAUACGUAAAUUAGUAUGUUACGGUGAAUAUUCUAACUGUUUCGCACUAAUCACUCAUCACGCGUUGAAACAUAUUAUUAUCUUAUUAUUUAUAUAAUAUUUUUUAAUAAAUAUUAAUAAUUAUUAAUUUAUAUUUAUUUAUAUCAGAAAUAAUAUGAAUUAAUGCGAAGUUGAAAUACAGUUACCGUAGGGGAACCUGCGGUGGGCUUAUAAAUAUC